AGCGAACGCUGGCGGCAUGCCUAACACGUGCAAGUCGAACGAGACCUUCGGGUCUAGUGGCGCACGGGUGCGUAACGCGUGGGAACCUGCCCUUAGGUUCGGAAUAACUCCCCGAAAGGGGUGCUAAUACCGGAUAAUGUCUUCGGACCAAAGAUUUAUCGCCUUUGGAUGGGCCCGCGUUGGAUUAGCUAGUUGGUAGGGUAAAAGCCUACCAAGGCGACGAUCCAUAGCUGGUCUGAGAGGAUGAUCAGCCACACUGGGACUGAGACACGGCCCAGACUCCUACGGGAGGCAGCAGUGGGGAAUAUUGGACAAUGGGCGAAAGCCUGAUCCAGCAAUGCCGCGUGAGUGAUGAAGGCCUUAGGGUUGUAAAGCUCUUUUACCCGGGAUGAUAAUGACAGUACCGGGAGAAUAAGCUCCGGCUAACUCCGUG
rnacentral:rRNA from 1 species